CUUUGUUUUCAAGAAAAAUGAUUUUUUUUUUUUUUUUGGUUUAUAGAAAACAUUUUUUUAUUUUAUAUUUUAUCAUUUCUUUUUUUUUCUUUUCUUUGUAAGAAAAUUUUAUUUAUUUUUUCUACCAAGUAUAUUUUUUUGCAUCAAAAAAUGUUGCUGAGGAUGAAAAAAGGGAAGGUGUUGGAGGUGCGGGGUGGGCAAAACGACAACAACAACAACUACAAUAAUGUGAAACUUAAACACAUCUUUGGGUGUGGCUAAUGACAUUGUUGUGGUCGUUGUUGUUGUUGUUGUUGUUAGUGGAGGAGAAGUAGGAGGCAGAAACAACAGAGAGUCGGACUGAGAUACCUUGUGGUGUUUCUUCACAUCCUUCUCCAGUCUCAGUUGAAAUUCUGUCAUGGAUUUUUUUUUUCCUUUUGUCUCCCCCCCCCCUCAUUCAUCUUCUAAGGCAGAAUAAAAUAAAGAACGAGUCAAGUACUGCAAUGAAUUUAGUCAACUAGGAGUCCCCCUCCCCUCAAAUCUCAGGCCCUGUUGUGUCAUUGCUAUCAUUAUUAUUAUCGAGUGAGAGAACAGCACAUGACAUCAAAAUGACUGUGGGGUACAAAUAGACGAAAUCCAAUAUACCUACCAUGACCACCCAUUUGAUAAGGGUAGACCAGGCACACGCAUCACAAGAGUGUGUGUGUGCGACACUGACCUCACUGAUUAAGUGGAGGCAAAGCCUAUGAUAGACCACAUUCAACCCUUCGUCAAAGUAUUUUAACUUCAUUUAUGUCAAUGAUGCUCUUGGAAAAGCCAUGAACAUCACACGUACCUCUUUUGUUCUAAGCAAAGAAUAUCAAAAUUCAGACCAGGGUGUGUGUGUGUGUGUAUGUCAUUAUCCUGCUGGAAGAGAUGUCUUCCUGGGGCUAUAAACAUCAGUAGUACUGUCCUGUAUAGGACCCCACACUUAAUUGGCAAAUAUAUGUUACAGUAUAUACAUACAUAUAUAUAGACCACAUAAACACCACACUAUACAAUGUGGUUGAUAAGAGCUAAACAUCUUCUGACGGAAGUGUUUAACUUUAUUCAAAAACUGUUCAUCUUUUACUUAUUGCUUCUCAAUGACUGCAAGGGCAAGAUAAAUAGGAAGUUGUGAUGUUCAUACAUUUCCCCAUCAGCAUCAGUGGCAUAGAUGAAGUGAAGCAUUUUGUAAAGUGACUAAAGACGGAAGAGUAUUGGUGCAAUACAAUGGAGUUCAGUGCAGAGUACAUCUGUGAAUACUAAUGAGUCUCUGGUGGGUUAGUAAAUGCUGGAGUAAGGCACGGUCCUAGUGAAAAUGUUCCACACAAAAACUCCACCAACAUCCUGCUGCCCUCCUUCGAGUUUGUGGUUCAGGGUUUUAUGCUUUUCAACAAGUGGGCUUUGUAGCAGUAUAACUCCAAUGUCAGGGGUCAGUAGUAAAUGAGAAUUAGGGAUUUGGAAAGGCAAAAGGAGAAAAAUUAAAACAAAGAGAAGACAUGCACCGAAAAAAUACAAAUCAACCUCUUUCUUGUAUUAACUAUAAAAUAUGUCAAUUGUUGGAGGGACAAGAGGGGAAAAAAAUGAUUAAAUAAAUGUUUUAAACUACUUCCUGUCACAUGAUAAACUUCUUUUUAAAAAUUUCAAAUGUUAAAGUAUCCAAAAUUAAUAAGGAUUAAAGCUGUUGAUGAUGUUAGUGGUGAUGAUGAUGAUGGUAGACUCUAAAAGUUAACCCUUUAUCAUCGUCAUCAUCCUUGACAAGUCGUUAACUCCUUUCAUACCAACCAGCCCCAUGGUUUUCAUACAAACUUCCUAUUUUAAAAGGCUCUAAAUUAAAACCUCUCUUGAUGCUCCAAACAGCAAGUUUUUUUUAACUAAAAACUCUUCAUUAUUUUUUUCAAAAAUUACUUGACACGCAGGAAAUAUAUUUCAAUGGAAAUAUGGUUAAAGAAUCAAGUAACCCUCUUUAAAGGGUCUCCACCUCACUAAAAAAAA